rnacentral:rRNA from 1 species
GGCUCAGGAUGAACGCUGGCGGCGUGCCUAACACAUGCAAGUCGAGCGAUUUACUUCGGUAAAGAGCGGCGGACGGGUGAGUAACGCGUGGGUAACCCUGCCUCAUACACAUGGAUAACAUACCGAAAGGUAUGCUAAUACAGGAUAAUAUAAGAGAUUCACAUGGAUUUCUUAUCAAAGCUCCGGCGGUAUGAGAUGGACCCGCGUCUGAUUAGCUAGUUGGUAAGGUAAUGGCUUACCAAGGCGACGAUCAGUAGCCGACCUGAGAGGGUGAUCGGCCACAUUGGAACUGAGACACGGUCCAAACUCCUACGGGAGGCAGCAGUGGGGAAUAUUGCACAAUGGGCGAAAGCCUGAUGCCAGCAACGCCGCGUGAGUGAUGAAGGCCUUCGGGUCGUAAAACUCUGUCCUCAAGGAAGAUAAUGACGGUACUUGAGGAGGAAGCCCCGGCUAACUACGUGCCAGCCGCUGC